AUGCGUGUGGGAUUUUGCGUGAUACGUCGCGCAGAACGAAACUUAGGAAGGUCUCUAGAUUUUACCGCACCGUAAACGAUUCUGACCUAAAUACACAUGUUUAUGUGGGUCGAAUUCUACAGCUGACUCAAAAACGUUUCAUUCAUACAAUUUUACAAUGGUUUGAUCACCGUGGGUGAUAUCUUGUGCGUGGUGGUAAAAGCUGAAUGAAAUAUUGACGUUUUAAGGUUUUAUCACGUGAGGUAGUUUUUCCAGGCAUUUGAUCAAAGCAUGGGGGGAGAAAAUAACAGUAAAGAAGAGGAGACAGCUACAGAUGAACCCAAGAAGAGGGGUCGAGGAAGACCCCGAAAGGAAAAGAAAGAGGAGCCAGAAGAUGCAGAGCCCAAACCUAAGCGUCCUAGAGGACGACCAAAAGGCAGCUUUAAAACACCUAGACCUACGGAGGUGAAACCCAAGGGACCAAGAGGCAGGCCUCGCAAGGGGACAUUGUGUCUUAGUAUUACCUAACACUGCAUUAAUUAUCUGUAUUUGUACAUAUCUAUACACCAUACAACAAACUGUGUUACAAAUGUGGAGGGAGGGGUACAUAUACUUGAAUGAUAUGUGCUUCAUUGCUUGGGUUGUAACAAGUCAGAAUAGAAACAAAAAGAAAGAAGAAAAGAAUUCAGACCCCAUCCACCCCCACAAAGGAGGAGAAGAAAGAGAAGUGAGAUUGUUGUAGCGUAAAGCAGAGCGUGGAUAACACUGCCUGAAGGACAGUAGCAGUGUGUUCAUUGUGGCCAUUUCAAUGUGUUCAGAAACUCAAUCUGUCUGUAUGUAAUUGUAAUAGUAGAGUAGUUGAUUUUCUAAUUGAAGAUAUAUUACCCAUCCUGCCUCAGUGUUCCGUAUUCCUUUAUCUUGCCUCACUUUUCAUGUUUAUCAUGCAUUUCUUCAUGUAUCGUCAUUUUUAUCAUUAAAUAGGUGCAUGUUUUUA